UACGGAGGGAGCUAGCGUUAUUCGGAAUUACUGGGCGUAAAGCGUACGUAGGCGGCUUUGUAAGUAAGAGGUGAAAGCCCGGAGCUCAACUCCGGAACUGCCUUUUAGACUGCAUCGCUUGAAUCCAGGAGAGGUGAGUGGAAUUCCGAGUGUAGAGGUGAAAUUCGUAGAUAUUCGGAAGAACACCAGUGGCGAGGGCGGCUCACUGGACUGGUAUUGACGCUGAGGUACGAAAGCGUGGGGAGCAAACAGG
rnacentral:rRNA from 1 species